UGUCGGCUCUUCCUAUCAUU
rnacentral:ncRNA from 2 species